CAGGAUUAGAUACCCUGGUAGUCCACGCCGUAAACGAUGUCGACUUGGAGGUUGUGCCCUUGAGGCGUGGCUUCCGGAGCUAACGCGUUAAGUCGACCGCCUGGGGAGUACGGCCGCAAGGUUAAAACUCAAAUGAAUUGACGGGGGCCCGCACAAGCGGUGGAGCAUGUGGUUUAAUUCGAUGCAACGCGAAGAACCUUACCUGGUCUUGACAUCCACAGAACUUUCCAGAGAUGGAUUGGUGCCUUCGGGAACUGUGAGACAGGUGCUGCAUGGCUGUCGUCAGCUCGUGUUGUGAAAUGUUGGGUUAAGUCCCGCAACGAGCGCAACCCUUAUCCUUUGUUGCCAGCGGUCCGGCCGGGAACUCAAAGGAGACUGCCAGUGAUAAACUGGAGGAAGGUGGGGAUGACGUCAAGUCCUCAUGGCCCUUAUGGGUAGGGCUUCACACGUCAUACAAUGGUCGGAACAGAGGGUUGCCAACCCGCGAGGGGGAGCUAAUCCCAGAAAACCGAUCGUAGUCCGGAUUGCACUCUGCAACUCGAGUGCAUGAAGCUGGAAUCGCUAGUAAUCGCGGAUCAGCAUGCCGCGGUGAAUACGUUCCCGGGUCUUGUACACACCGCCCGUCACACCAUGGGAGUGGGUUGCAAAAGAAGUAGGUAGCUUAACCUUCGGGAGGGCGCUUACCACUUUGUGAUUCAUGACUGGGGUGAAGUCGUAACAAGGUAACC
rnacentral:rRNA from 1 species